GAUGAAGAACGCAGCGAAAUGCGAUAAGUAAUGUGAAUUGCAGAAUUCAGUGAAUCAUCGAAUCUUUGAACGCACAUUGCGCCCUCUGGUAUUCCGGGGGGCAUGCCUGUUCGACCGUCAUUAUAACCACUCAAGCUCUCGCUUGGUAUUGGGGUUCGCGGUUUCGCGGCCCCUAAAAUCAGUGGCGGUGCCUGUCGGCUCUACGCGUAGUAAUACUUCUCGCGAUUGAGUUCGAUAGGUCUACUUGCCAGUAACCCCCAAUUUUUACAGGUUGACCUCGGAUCAGGUAGGGAUACCCGCUGAACUUAAGCAUAUCAAUAAGCGGAGGA
rnacentral:misc_RNA from 1 species